CCCACGCGCACACACACCCAUGUUGGAUCCCAUCUCUCUUGUCUUCCUCGAUCCCCUUUCUCCACCCCACGCCGCCGCCAGAUUUCAGCGAUCCCCGCCGUUCCCCACCGCCCAGCUCUCCUCCCCGAGGUCACCUCUCCCCGCUCACCAUCUCCACCGACCGGUUUCUCUCCUUUCCCAGGAGAGUCCCGCCUCCUUGCCGCCAAGGCCGCCGCCGCCCGCCGCCUCGAGCGGCGCCGCCUCCUCCUCGAGCGCCGCGCCGCAGACCUCGCCUUCCGCGCCCUUGCCGCCCGUGCUGACAUCGACGCCACCCACGCGCGCCGCCUCAUCGUCGCCCACGACAUCAGCUCGACCAACGGCGAGAUCGAGGAUGCGCAGCGGAAGGCGGAGGAGUGGGACCGCUUCUACGAGUCCAAGAGGAUGGAGAUGGAGGAGUUCCGACCGUCGUCUCCACAGCCUCCAUCCACCACGGCCGCAGCCACUUCUCAACCCCACGAGUAGCCUCCUGGCCUAGUUCCUCAUCACCGUCCUCCUCCCGGUCCCUGUCCACCUCCGCCUCCACCUGGUGGUCCCAGAGGCGACGACUCCCCGUCGCCUCGGCCACCGUAGAGCUCCGCGAGGCCGCCGCGGGUGGUGGAGACUCCGUCAUGACGCCGCAGCCCAACUCAAGUGUUAAGUUCAGCGUGGAGGCAGCCCUGCAGGAGCUGCAGAGCUGCGGGUUGCACUCGGACGACGUCGGGAUCGGGGCUGCGGAAACCUGGAAGGCCUACCUCAUGGCUAAGAAGGCCAAGCUGGAUGAGACCCUGGCUGCAGCCCGCCAGUUCAGAGCACUGCUUCGGCAGCAGCUCCAGAAAGCCUUCGUGUCACAGGUUAGGGAUCAAAAGGCAGCACAAAACUGACUAGUUAUGUGGUACAAGCAAAACAACAUUCAUUAGCUAGCUCAUCAAUCACUUCAGAUUAAGGAUGCAAUGCAAGUGUGGCGGGCUAGUGGACAGUAACAUAGUAGUACACAUGUAGUGUUACUUUUAGGCAAAUGUUGAGCAAAUUUUGAACUAAUGGAUGAGUUUCGUGGGACGAAGCGGGCUGCCACUUGCACUCCUCCUACUGAUGAAACGAACUUCAAAUGUCUCUACAUGCAGAUACAUGCUUUUUAUUUCAGUCUUGUUUAGAGGAGGCCCCGGCGGCGUCGAGCUGCUGUUGCUGCGGGCACAGCGACGUCGGCGUGGUCGGGAUGGUCGCAGCCCUUCAAGAUUCUCAACGGCGGCGUCUCGGUGCUGAUGGUGGAGUCGAUGGCGAGCAUCGGCGAGUACAGGACCCUUGUAGGAGACCAUCCUCAAGAUGGACGAGAAGAUGAGGUCUGGACCCUUGUAGGAGACCAUCCUCAAGCAGCACUAGAUAUGGAGUAGGAGGACGAGCAGCAGCAGCAAAUCAGACUGAUGAUGACGGGGUGCGGAAGGCAAUGGUGAUCAUGCUGAUGGCAUGAAGAAGGCUGAUGACCACAACCUGGACAUGUUGGCAUUUAGAGAUGGCAAACACAGGCGGCGUGGAGAUAGCAACCUGGACCACCCACCUCGCUUGCCUUUUUAAUUUUGGUUGUGGUGGUUGCAUCACCGUCGCGGUCGCAAAUCAGUAUGUAGUGUGCUUGUGGAGUUGGGUCUGGACUGCUGUGUCCAUCUAGUAGGUUAGGUGUUGUUGCUGCUAGAUCCCAUGAUGCUCACCUAAGUUUUGUGUUAUAUGGAGGCCAACCUUUGUGACCUUAUUUGUCGACACUUGUGUGAUCUCGUCUUACUUUGUGCUACAGGUUGUAUGAUAUAUAUAUAUGUUUUUAUGGAUGAUCUUGUGAUG
rnacentral:rRNA from 1 species